UACGUAGGGGGCAAGCGUUGUCCGGAAUCAUUGGGCGUAAAGCGCGUGUAGGCGGCCCGGUAAGUCCGCUGUGAAAGUCGGGGGCUCAACCCUCGAAUGCCGGUGGAUACUGUCGGGCUAGAGUGCGGAAGAGGCGAGUGGAAUUCCUGGUGGAGCGGUGAAAUGCGUUGAUAUCCUAAGGAACACCGGUGGCGAAAGCGGCUCACUGGGUCUCGUCUGACGCUGAGGCACGAAAGCUAGGGUAGCGAACGGG
rnacentral:rRNA from 1 species